rnacentral:rRNA from 1 species
UACGAAGGGUGCAAGCGUUACUCGGAAUUACUGGGCGUAAAGCGUGCGUAGGUGGUUUGUUAAGUCCGAUGUGAAAGCCCUGGGCUCAACCUGGGAAUGGCAUUGGAUACUGGCAGGCUAGAGUGCGGUAGAGGGCAGUGGAAUUUCCGGUGUAGCAGUGAAAUGCGUAGAGAUCGGGAGGAACAUCUGUGGCGAAGGCGACUGCCUGGACCAGCACUGACACUGAGGCACGAAAGCGUGGGGAGCAAACAGG